AGGAGCAGUAAAUAUUUAAGUUCUGCCCAGGGAGGAAAAUUAGCAAUUUCCUUUGGUGAAUCAUAUUUCAUUAGAAAACUGUUAAUGCCUAUUCUGGUUCCCUUGAAACUCUGGUUCUCCUAUCAAACUGUUCUUAAACUCAAAUCCUCCACGUGAAAGAAUACAUUCAAGACACAGCGCAUCCAACUGAGCAUGACAAUGCAAAGACGACAAAUAUAACUCAAAUCCUCCACGUGAAAGAAUACAUUUAAGACACAGUGCAUCCCACUGAACAUGAUGAUGCAAAGACGACAAAAUAUAAACUCGAAUAUUCGGAAUGUUGGAAGUUUUAGUCUUGUGUACAACUAUGUAAAAAUACGAAAAUUACUUAUUAAUCUUAAGAAACCCAAAAUUUAUUAGGAAAAAAACAGAUUAAAAAAAGAGAUUAUCUUUUAUUAGGCUUUCUGAAAUACUCUUCAAUCUUAGAUGAUUGGGGGCCGAAACUAAUGAAAUUGAGCUAUGUCGCUGAACUACAUACUGCCGGUUCAAAUUUAAACUACCAAUUCCUAGUUUAAGAUCGGUGAUUCAAAUUUGAACCAGCGCAGCGGUAGGAAAAGAAAUCUAUAUAGUAAGUUGCAGCAAAUUGAUUGAUAAUUGAAAACCGUGCAUUUAUAAUGUUAAAAGCUUCUUGCGAUAAAUUUGCCAGUUAUCACAAUGAUAAUUAAAGUAAUUAUUAAAAUGAUAAAUGUUUUUUCAUAGAAUUAUGUAUCUAUUUUUUAUAUUUGAUGUAAAUAAAAAACUUUUCAAAUUUAAUUUUUCUUCAAUAAUAUAUUUUGUAAAUAUAAACAUUUAUUUAGUAUUUUAUACAAGCAGUUCAUUGUUUAUAUUGAAGUAAAGGGAAUAGCACUCUGCUUAGUAGUGCAAACCCCGAAAAUCGGCAAUGGUUUAUAGAAGACGACAUUUAUUCUAUUACUUAAAUUGUAAUUUACUAUUAUUUAACCUAAAAAUGAUAAAGUAUGGUUUAGACGAUGUGUUACUGUAAACUAUGUACAAGUGAACUCGUAUUUAUAUAUUUCAUAAUUGUUCCUAGUUGGAAAUCUGCACUUCAGAUAUAUCCACAAGUUAUUUAUUUUGGUGGUCAGUCACUUGAACUAACCUCAUCGGAACUAUCAAUAUUUUCACUUUUGUUUGUUAACAUGUUUUGAUUAAGUUUU